UACGUAGGGGGCUAGCGUUGUCCGGAAUCAUUGGGCGUAAAGCGCGUGUAGGCGGUCCGGUAAGUCCGCUGUGAAAGUCGGGGGGCUCAACCCUCGAAUGCCGGUGGAUACUGUCGGGCUAGAGUCCGGAAGAGGCGAGUGGAAUUCCUGGUGUAGCGGUGAAAUGCGCAGAUAUCAGGAGGAACACCUAUUGCGAAGGCAGCUCGCUGGGACGUAACUGACGCUGAGACGCGAAAGCGUGGGGAGCAAACAGG
rnacentral:rRNA from 1 species